GCGUGCUUAACACAUGCAAGUCGAACGAUGAAGCUCCAGCUUGCUGGGGUGGAUUAGUGGCGAACGGGUGAGUAACACGUGAGUAACCUGCCCCCUUCUUCGGGAUAAGCCUUGGAAACGGGGUCUAAUACCGGAUAUUCACUUCCUGUCGCAUGGCGGGGGGUGGAAAGAUUUUUUGGUGGGGGAUGGGCUCGCGGCCUAUCAGCUUGUUGGUGGGGUGAUGGCCUACCAAGGCGUCGACGGGUAGCCGGCCUGAGAGGGCGACCGGCCACACUGGGACUGAGACACGGCCCAGACUCCUACGGGAGGCAGCAGUGGGGAAUAUUGCACGAUGGGCGAAAGCCUGAUGCAGCGACGCCGCGUGAGGGAUGACGGCCUUCGGGUUGUAAACCUCUUUCGACACGGAAGAAGGCCUUCGGGUUGACGGUACGUGUAGAAGAAGCGCCGGCUAACUACGUGCCAGCAGCCGCGGUAAUACGUAGGGCGCAAGCGUUGUCCGGAAUUAUUGGGCGUAAAGAGCUCGUAGGCGGUCUGUCGCGUCUGGUGUGAAAACCUGAGGCUCAACCUUGGGCUGGCAUCGGGUACGGGCAGGCUAGAGUGCGGUAGGGGAGACUGGAAUUCCUGGUGUAGCGGUGGAAUGCGCAGAUAUCAGGAGGAACACCGAUGGCGAAGGCAGGUCUCUGGGCCGUUACUGACGCUGAGGAGCGAAAGCAUGGGGAGCGAACAGGAUUAGAUACCCUGGUAGUCCAUGCCGUAAACGUUGGGCACUAGGUGUGGGGCAGGUUCCACCUGUUCUGUGCCGUAGCUAACGCAUUAAGUGCCCCGCCUGGGGAGUACGGCCGCAAGGCUAAAACUCAAAGGAAUUGACGG
rnacentral:rRNA from 1 species